rfam:Bacillus akibai JCM 9157 DNA, contig:contig_22.
GUAUUCCCUCCGAGUAAGAACUAGACAUUACGCUCGUACCGAGUCUUGGUGGCUAAAGGUAACUUUAGUCGCUAAGCGUAGACAGUGAUGGUAGUGAGUCGAAAGCCAAAUUAUUAAAGGGAUUGAACUUCUAAGGGUAGUCAUUCAAGAGGGAUGAGGCUUUUCGUUCAGCAGGCAAGCUACAUUUUCCGUCAUUAGGGCGAGAAAGAUAAAAUCUGGAUUCAGAGACCU